AACGAACGCUGGCGGCAGGCCUAACACAUGCAAGUCGAACGCCGUAGCAAUACGGAGUGGCAGACGGGUGAGUAACGCGUGGGAACAUGCCCUUCGGUUCGGAAUAACUCAGGGAAACUUGAGCUAAUACCGAAUACGUCCAAGGAAACUUGGAGAAAGAUUUAUCGCCGGAGGAUUGGCCCGCGUCUGAUUAGCUUGUUGGUGGGGUAAUGGCUCACCAAGGCGACGAUCAGUAGCUGGUCUGAGAGGAUGAUCAGCCACAUUGGGACUGAGACACGGCCCAAACUCCUACGGGAGGCAGCAGUGGGGAAUAUUGGACAAUGGGCGCAAGCCUGAUCCAGCCAUGCCGCGUGAGUGAUGAAGGCCCUAGGGUUGUAAAGCUCUUUUGCCCGGGAAGAUAAUGACGGUACCGGGAGAAUAAGCCCCGGCUAACUUCGUGCCAGCAGCCGCAGUAAUAC
rnacentral:rRNA from 1 species